rnacentral:misc_RNA from 1 species
UAAGCAAGAACUUAACCAGCCAGGAAGCUAUGUAACCAGAUCCUCCUGUGACGCACACCGGUUUUCCUUCCCCACUCAUUCUCUAUUUUUUCAAAGAAAAAAUUCUAUCAGUCGUGGAGUCAGCAGUCAGCAAUUCCCUAUAUUCUGCGGUUCUUGCAUAAGCAGUUAGCUCCACAUAUUGUAGCUAUUGUCAUUGCUUACGUCCAAAAUAAAAAGACUUUUGACUUCUUGAACGACCAUAUCCAAAGGAGUUCUGGUAAAGAUGGCCUCUAAUUUUUA